rnacentral:rRNA from 1 species
UAGCGGCAGGCUUAACACAUGCAAGUCGAGGGGCAGCACGAGUAGCAAUACUUGGUGGCGACCGGCAGACGGGUGCGUAACGCGUAUACAACCUACCCUUGAAAGGGGAAUAACCCGGAGAAAUUCGGACUAAUACCCCGUAAGUAUUUGAUCGGCAUCGAUUGGAUAUGAGAGAUUUAUCGUUCAAGGAUGGGUAUGCGUGACAUUAGGAAGUUGGUGAGGUAACGGCUCACCAAUCCGACGAUGUCUAGGGGUUCUGAGAGGAAGGUCCCCCACACUGGUACUGAGACACGGACCAGACUCCUACGGGAGGCAGCAGUGAGGAAUAUUGGUCAAUGGACGAGAGUCUGAACCAGCCAUGCCGCGUGCAGGAAGAAUGCUCUAUGAGUUGUAAACUGCUUUUAUACAAGAAUAAUAAGCUCUACGCGCUAGGGUGAUGAAUGUAUUGUAUGAAUAAGGACCGGCUAACUCCGUGCCAGCAGCCGCGGUAAUACGGAGGGUCCGAGCGUUAUCCGGAUAUUCGAUGAUACGCGAGGAACCUUACCCGGGCUUGAAAGUUAGUGACCGGUGGUGAAAGCCACUUUUCCAGCAAUGGACACGAAACUAGGUGCUGCAUGGUUGUCGUCAGCUCGUGCCGUGAGGUGUCGGGUUAAGUCCCAUAACGAGCGCAACCCCUGUCGUUAGUUGCUAGCAGGUAAUGCUGAGGACUCUAACGAGACUGCCGGUGUAAACCGAGAGGAAGGUGGGGAUGACGUCAAAUCAGCACGGCCCUUACGUCCGGGGCGACACACGUGUUACAAUGGAUGGUACAAAGGGUUGCGACAUAGUGAUAUGAAGCCAAUCUCAAAAAGCCAUUCUCAGUUCGGAUCGCAGGCUGAAACUCGCCUGCGUGAAGUUGGAUUCGCUAGUAAUCGUAUAUCAGUCAUGAUACGGUGAAUACGUUCCCGGGCCUUGUACACACCGCCCGUCAAGCCAUGGAAGUUGGGGGUGCCUGAAGUACGUGUGCGUCAAGCAGCGUCCUAGGGCAAAACCGAUA